rnacentral:tRNA from 1 species
UGCCCGGCGGCGUGGCGGCGCCACUGCCGCCGUCGGCGCCGGCUGCGCCGAAAUGCGCGGCGAAGCGCAGGUCCAGCGCCCGCUCGAGCCA